AGGAUAGGUGGGAGGCUUAGAAGUGUGGACGCCAGUCUGCAUGGAGCCGACCUUGAAAUACCACCCUUUAAUGUUUGAUGUUCUAACGUUGACCCGUAAUCCGGGUUGCGGACAGUGUCUGGUGGGUAGUUUGACUGGGGCGGUCUCCUCCUAAAGAGUAACGGAGGAGCACGAAGGUUGGCUAAUCCUGGUCGGACAUCAGGAGGUUAGUGCAAUGGCAUAAGCCAGCUUGACUGCGAGCGUGACGGCGCGAGCAGGUGCGAAAGCAGGUCAUAGUGAUCCGGUGGUUCUGAAUGGAAGGGCCAUCGCUCAACGGAUAAAAGGUACUCCGGGGAUAACAGGCUGAUACCGCCCAAGAGUUCAUAUCGACGGCGGUGUUUGGCACCUCGAUGUCGGCUCAUCACAUCCUGGGGCUGAAGUAGGUCCCAAGGGUAUGGCUGUUCGCCAUUUAAAGUGGUACGCGAGCUGGGUUUAGAACGUCGUGAGACAGUUCGGUCCCUAUCUGCCGUGGGCGCUGGAGAACUGAGGGGGGCUGCUCCUAGUACGAGAGGACCGGAGUGGACGCAUCACUGGUGUUCGGGUUGUCAUGCCAAUGGCACUGCCCGGUAGCUAAAUGCGGAAGAGAUAAGUGCUGAAAGCAUCUAAGCACGAAACUUGCC
rnacentral:rRNA from 1 species